UCCCGUGUAGCUCAGUUGGUAGAGCAUGGCACUAGCACUGCCAGGGUUGUGGAUUCGAAUCCCACGGGGAA